CGUUGUUUUUCUCCUUUGAAUUCUUCUGAGACUUUCCCUUUCCCCCGAUUCUCCUUAGCCUGCCUGUGACAUGCUGUUAUGCGUGUGUCAUCCUGCUGGAUGUUCCCGCGGAUUCCUGGAUCUGUGCUCUGAUGGCUGAUACUAAGUUUAGAAAACUGUCAACCAUGACUACUUCAAAGCUUUCUCCAGUUCCUGUCCGGACUUGUCUGUUAGGAAGCGGCGCGCCUGCAGGCCCAGCGUCCUCGCAGCUCUGUCCAGCCCACCGGGAGCACACUGGAUCCAGUCCGCACUCCCGGCACGGCGUUUUGGAUCCGCAGCCUUCCUCUGAGCCCCUCUUAGAGCCUCCCGCCGCCACUUGCAGUGCUCCUGCACACUAUGUUUUUUCAUGUACAGCCUGAUUUAGUUUCAAUUCCUGUUCUGAUCAUGUUAAAAUCUCGGCCAUAUCUGAGUGCAGUUGUGCCAUUUGUCUUGUCUUUUUAGAUAGUGGAAUUUUUUUUCUUUAUCAUAUGGCUCUUUGUUUUUAUGAAAUCUGAACAUAAGCUAUUAAGUAUAAAGGGAGCUUGGGUAAAAAUGCUUUCAGUGUGUAAGUUUAGAUUCACCUGGCCUGGGAGCAGACUGUGCUUAUUGUUUGCUGUAGCUGUGUCAGGGACUAAAUUGUCUUCUAAUGUCCUUAUUUUCUUUAAAUAAUUAAAUUUUAUUUCAGUGGUA